ACAGGUGGAACCUACGCGUAGCG
rnacentral:piRNA from 1 species